GAUGAACGCUGGCGGUAUGCUUAACACAUGCAAGUCGAACGGACUCUUCGGAGUUAGUGGCGGACGGGUGAGUAACGCGUGAGAAUCUGGCUUUGGGUUCGGGACAACCACUGGAAACGGUGGCUAAUACCGGAUGUGCCGAGAGGUAAAAGAGAAAUUGCCUGAAGAUGAGCUCGCGUCUGAUUAGCUAGUUGGUGAGGUAAAGGCUCACCAAGGCAGCGAUCAGUAGCUGGUCUGAGAGGAUGACCAGCCACACUGGGACUGAGACACGGCCCAGACUCCUACGGGAGGCAGCAGUGGGGAAUUUUCCGCAAUGGGCGAAGGCCUGACGGAGCAAUACCGCGUGAGGGAAGAAGGCUCUUGGGUUGUAAACCUCUUUUCUUAGGGAAGAACAAAAUGACGGUACCUAAGGAAUCAGCAUCGGCUAACUCCGUG
rnacentral:rRNA from 1 species